rnacentral:rRNA from 1 species
UACGAAGGGGGCUAGCGUUGCUCGGAAUUACUGGGCGUAAAGCGCACGUAGGCGGCUUUCUAAGUCGGGGGUGAAAUCCUGGAGCUCAACUCCAGAACUGCCUUCGAUACUGGAGAGCUUGAGUCCGGGAGAGGUAAGUGGAACUGCGAGUGUAGAGGUGAAAUUCGUAGAUAUUCGCAAGAACACCAGUGGCGAAGGCGGCUCACUGGCCCGGUACUGACGCUGAGGUGCGAAAGCGUGGGGAGCAAACAGG